rnacentral:rRNA from 1 species
CCUACGGGAGGCAGCAGUGAGGAAUAUUGGUCAAUGGGCGGGAGCCUGAACCAGCCAAGUCGCGUGAGGGAAGACGGUCCUAUGGAUUGUAAACCUCUUUAGGCGGGGAGCAAUGCCGGGCACGCGUGCCCGGAGGGAGAGUACCCGCAGAAUAAGCAUCGUCUAACUCCGUGCCAGCAGCCGCGGUACUACGGAGGAUGCGAGCGUUAUUCGGAUUUAUUGGGUUUACAGGGUGCGUAGGCGGAUUUUUAAGACAGCGGUAAAAUGUCCGGGCUCAACCCGGGCCGGCCGUUGAUACUGGGGAGCUUGAGUGGGCGAGAAGUAUGCGGAAUGCGUGGUGUAGCGGUGAAAUGCAUAGAUAUCACGCAGAACUCCGAUUGCGAAGGCAGCAUACCGGCGCCCGACUGACGCUGAGGCACGAAAGCGUGGGGAUCGAACAGGAUUAGAUACCCCUGUAGUC